rnacentral:rRNA from 1 species
GACGAACGCUGGCGGCGUGCCUAAUACAUGCAAGUAGGACGCAGUUGCGAACGGGUGAGUAACGCGUAGGUAACUACCUAUUAGAGGGGGAUAACUAUUGGAAACGAUAGCUAAUACCGCAUACUAGUAGAUGGACCUGCGUUGUAUUAGCUAGUAGGGAGGGUAAUGGCCUACCUAGGCAACGAUACAUAGCCGACCGGAGGGGGUGUGCGGCCCACCCUGUACGGUGACCGGGCCCAGACUCCUACGGGAGGCAGCAGGAGGGAAGCUUCGGCGAGUGGUGGAACCCUAACCGAGCAGCGCCGCGGGAGUGAAGAAGGUUUUCGGGUCGUAAGGCUCUGUUGUUAAGAGAGCGUUACUUAGCCAGAAAGGGACGGCUAACUACGUGCCAGCAGCCGCGGUAAUUC